rnacentral:tRNA from 4 species
GCGGGUGUAGUUUAGUGGUAAAACGACUGCCUUCCAAGCAGUAGUCGGGAGUUCGAUUCUUCUCACCCGCACAA